UACGAAGGGUGCAAACGUUACUCGGAAUUACUGGGCGUAAAGCGUGCGUAGGUGGUGAGUUAAGUCUGUCGUGAAAGCCCCGGGCUCAACCUGGGAAUGGCGAUGGAUACUGGCUCGCUAGAGUGCGGUAGAGGAGAGUGGAAUUCCCGGUGUAGCAGUGAAAUGCGUAGAGAUCGGGAGGAACAUCAGUUGCGAAGGCGGCUCUCUGGACCAGCACUGACACUGAGGCACGAAAGCGUGGGGAGCAAACAGG
rnacentral:rRNA from 1 species